rnacentral:rRNA from 1 species
AUUCCAGCUCCAAUAGCGUAUAUUAAAGUUGUUGCGGUAAAAAAGCUCGUAGUUGGAUUUCUGUUGAGGGCGACCGGUCCAUACAACGUAUGCGUAUCUGGCUCGGCCUCGGCAUCCUCUCGAUAGACGUUUCUGCGCUUGAUUGCGUGGAGCGGAUCUCGGGACUUUUACUUUGAGGAAAUUAGAGUGUUCACGGCAGGCUAUCGCCAGAAUACAUUAGCAUGGAAUAAUACUAUAGGAUCUUGAUUCUAUUUUGUUGGUUUCUAGAAUUGAGAUAAUGAUUAAUAGGGACAAUUGGGGGCAUUCGUAUCAACACGUCAGAGGUGGAAUUCUUGGAUUGUGUUGCGACGAACUACUGCGAAAGCAUUUGCCAAGGAUGUUUUCAUCA